AGCACUGUUACGAGUCUCGUGAUCUCUGUUUCCACUUUGGAUAUACUUUUCCUUUUAUCUCAUAUUUUUUCAUCUAAUCAUGUUGUUGUCUUUCUCUCUUAACCUCACCACUGAAUUUGAACUAUCACUUCCCAUUUUGUACAAUCGUGAUCUCUGUUUCCACUUUGGAUAUACUUUUCCUUUUAUCUCAUAUUUUUUCAUCUAAUCAUGUUGUUGUCUUUCUCUCUUAACCUCACCACUGAAUU
rnacentral:lncRNA from 1 species